GGGGGCAAACAGCCAGNUCCGACGGGUGUACGAAGGGAAGAUACGGUCGGAAGGUCUGUGCAUGAGUGGCGGACGGGUGAGUAACGCGUGGGCAACCUGGCCUGUAUAGGGGGAUAACACUUAGAAAUAGGUGCUAAUACCGCAUAACGGGGGAAGCCGCAUGGCUUUUCCCUGAAAACUCCGGUGGUACAGGAUGGGCCCGCGUCUGAUUAGCCAGUUGGCAGGGUAACGGCCUACCAAAGCGACGAUCAGUAGCCGGCCUGAGAGGGCGGACGGCCACACUGGGACUGAGACACGGCCCAGACUCCUACGGGAGGCAGCAGCGGGGGAUAUUGCACAAUGGGGGGAACCCUGAUGCAGCGACGCCGCGUGGGUGAAGAAGCGCCUCGGCGCGUAAAGCCCUGUCAGCAGGGAAGAAAAUGACGGUACCUGAAGAAGAAGCCCCGGCUAACUACGUGCCAGCAGCCGCGGUAAUACGUAGGUGGCGAGCGUUAUCCGGAAUGAUUGGGCGUAAAGGGUGCGCAGGCGGUCCUGCAAGUCUGGAGUGAAACGCAUGAGCUCAACUCAUGCAUGGCUUUGGAAACUGGAGGACUGGAGAGCAGGAGAGGGCGGUGGAACUCCAUGUGUAGCGGUAAAAUGCGUAAAUAUAUGGAAGAACACCAGUGGCGAAGGCGGCCGCCUGGCCUGUUGCUGACGCUGAGGCACGAAAGCGUGCGGAGCAAAUACGAUUAUAUACCCUAGUAGUCCACG
rnacentral:rRNA from 1 species